rnacentral:rRNA from 1 species
GUGGGGAAUCUUAGACAAUGGGGGAAACCCUGAUCUAGCCAUGCCGCGUGAGCGAUGAAGGCCUUAGGGUUGUAAAGCUCUUUCAGCUGGGAAGAUAAUGACGGUACCAGCAGAAGAAGCCCCGGCUAACUCCGUGCCAGCAGCCGCGGUAAUACGGAGGGGGCUAGCGUUGUUCGGAAUUACUGGGCGUAAAGCGCACGUAGGCGGAUCAGAAAGUCAGAGGUGAAAUCCCAGGGCUCAACCUUGGAACUGCCUUUGAAACUCCUGGUCUUGAGGUCGAGAGAGGUGAGUGGAAUUCCGAGUGUAGAGGUGAAAGUCGUAGAUAUUCGGAGGAACACCAGUGGCGAAGGCGGCUCACUGGCUCGAUACUGACGCUGAGGUGCGAAAGCGUGGGGAGCAAACAGGAUUAGAAACCCUGGUAGUCC